CGUGUUGUUCUGCGCUUACCCGCCUACUCCGGUCACCCGGAACCCUUGCGGGUGGGAAAUUCGGUGGUUCGCUCCGUCCGAUCGACAAACAUUACUCCUGAGAGUUUACCAGGCGCGGAAGCGCCGGGCAGUGCCAUCAGAAAACACCGAAGGCUUUGCCCUCGGAUGGGAGGCACUGCGGACGGCUGGUCCUCCGUUGCACGGGGGGCUGUUGAGUGCAAUGUGCAGACCUUGGCUUGCAAGAGCCAGGGCACCCGAUACCGAUCAUCUUCACG
rnacentral:RNase_P_RNA from 2 species